rnacentral:rRNA from 1 species
CCUACGGGAGGCAGCAGUGGGGAAUAUUGCACAAUGGGGGAAACCCUGAUGCAGCGACGCCGCGUGAGUGAAGAAGUAAUUCGUGAUGUAAAGCUCUAUCAGUAGGGAAGAAAAUGACGGUACCUGAGUAAGAAGCCCCGGCUAACUACGUGCCAGAAGCGGUGGCAAUACGCAGGGGGCAAGCGUUAUCCGGAUUUACUGGGUGUAAAGGGAGCGUAGACGGGUGUGCAAGUCUGGAGUGAAAGGCGGGGGCUCAACCCCCGGACUGCUCUGGAAACUGUACGGCUGGAGUGCAGGAGAGGUAAGUGGAAUUCGUGGUGUAGCGGUGAAAUGCUUAGAUAUUAGGAAGAACACCGGUGGCGAAGGCAGCUUACUGGACUGUAACUGACGUUGAGGCUCGAAAGCGUGGGGAGCAAACAGGAUUAGAUACCCUGGUAGUC